rnacentral:pre_miRNA from 1 species
UUUUUGGGUGUGACUUUUUCGAGGAAACUUUUUUUGUUCAAAAAAAAAGUGAAAAAAGUUUCCUCGAAAAAGUCACACCCAAAAA